rnacentral:rRNA from 1 species
CCUUUACUAUAGCUUGACACUGAACACUGGUCCUUGAUGUGCAGGAUAGGUGGGAGGCUUUGAAGUGUGGACGCCAGUCUGCAUGGAGCCAUCCUUGAAAUACCACCCUUUAAUGGCUGGUGUUCUAACGUGGGCCCGUGAACCGGGUUGCGGACAGUGUCUGGUGGGUAGUUUGACUGGGGCGGUCUCCUCCUAAAGAGUAACGGAGGAGCACGAAGGUUGGCUAAUCCUGGUCGGACAUCAGGAGGUUAGUGCAAUGGCAUAAGCCAGCUUGACUGCGAGCGUGACGGCGCGAGCAGGUGCGAAAGCAGGUCAUAGUGAUCCGGUGGUUCUGAAUGGAAGGGCCAUCGCUCAACGGAUAAAAGGUACUCCGGGGAUAACAGGCUGAUACCGCCCAAGAGUUCAUAUCGACGGCGGUGUUUGGCACCUCGAUGUCGGCUCAUCACAUCCUGGGGCUGAAGUAGGUCCCAAGGGUAUGGCUGUUCGCCAUUUAAAGUGGUACGCGAGCUGGGUUUAGAACGUCGUGAGACAGUUCGGUCCCUAUCUGCCGUGGGCGCUGGAAGAUUGAGGGGGGCUGCUCCUAGUACGAGAGGACCGGAGUGGACGCAUCACUGGUGUUCGGGUUGUCAUGCCAAUGGCACUGCCCGGUAGCUACAUGCGGAAGAGAUAAGUGCUGAAAGCAUCUAAGCACGAAACUUGCCCCGAGAUGAAUCUUCCCUGAGCCUUUAAGGCUCCUGAAGGAACGUUGAAGACGACGACGUUGAUAGGCCGGGUGUGUAAGCGCAGCGAUGCGUUGAGCUAACCGGUACUAAUGAACCGUGAGGCUUAACCUUACAACGCCGAA